ACCUAGAUGCUGCCAAUCCUUAUGUACCCAUGAUGCUUCCACCUCAAGGAGUGCAUCCAAAUCCUGAAUGGAAUGAAUAUCAGGCUACCUUCAUACAUAAAGGGAAACAACUGUUGCUUGUUGCAAAUCCCAAUCGGGGUUGGAGCAAGUCUCUGUGGUGUGAAAUCUGCAAGAUUGACUGUACCAGUAAGGAUGACUUGGACCAACACAAAUUGGGGAAGAAGCAC